rnacentral:ncRNA from 1 species
CAAGUAUCCGCGCCCCAGUGUAAAUGCCCCCAACCUCUUACCAAGACAAACGGAGCUGGUAUCAGGUUCACCUAUGUGGCCCAAGACGCCUUGUUCAGCCACACCCCCACGGGUACUCAGCAGUAGUUGACAUUAAGCAAUGAGUGUAAACUCGACUUAGCCACGGCAACCACAAGGGUCGGUAAAUCUUGUGCCAGCCACCGUGGUCAUACAAGAGACCCAAGUUAACCGUACGCGGGGUAAAGAGUGGUACUGUUCCUAUCACAACAACUAGAAUCAAAAUACGACUGAGCCGUCAUAAGCCCAAGCCGCACAUAAGUCCACCCUAAAAACGAUCCUAGUCCCCACGAUUAACCAAGCCCACGAAAGCUAGGGCACAAACUGGGAUUAGAUACCCCACUAUGCCUAGCCCUAAAUCCAGAUGUCCAUUCCACUAGAACAUCCGCCUGAGAACUACGAGCACAAACGCUUAAAACUCUAAGGACUUGGGGGUGUCCUACACCCACCUAGAGGAGCCUGUUCUAUAAUCGAUAACCCACGAUGCACCCAACCUCCCCUUGCCAAAGCAGCCUACAUACCGCCGUCGCCAGCUUACCCCCAAUGAAGGAGCCACAGUAAGCGAAAUAGCCUUCUCGCUAACAAGACAGGUCAAGGUAUAGCCCAUGGGGGGGAAGAAAUGGGCUACAUUCUCUAACAUAGAGAACCACCAACGAAAGGGGGGGUGAAACCGCCCCCAGAAGGCGGAUUUAGCAGUAAAGCAGGACAAAAGAGCCUACUUUAAGCCGGCCCUAGGACACGUACAUACCGCCCGUCACCCUCCUCGCAAGCUACACGAUCCCAAGUAACUAACGCUCAACCUGGCUAAAGACGAGGUAAGUCGUAACAAGGUAAGUGUACCGGAAGGUGCACUUAGCAUAC